rnacentral:rRNA from 1 species
UACGUAGGCAGCGAGCGUUGUUCGGAGUUACUGGGCGUAAAGGGUGGUGUAGGCGGUUCUUUUAAGUUUGGAUGUUGAAAUCUCCCCGGCUACAACCGGGAGGGUGCGCCGAAUACUGAGGGACUAGAGUGCGGGAGAGGAAAGUGGAAUUCCUGGAUGUAGCGGUGAAAUGCGUAGACUAUCAGGAGGAACACCGGUGGUGUAGACGGCUUUCUGGACCGUAACUGACGCGUGAGAACACGAAAGCGUGGGUAGCAAACAGG